GUUUGACCAACAAAAAAAAAUCAAUUUAAACUAAAUUAUUUUUCUUUGUUUGUUAUCUAAUUUUUAUUACAUUUGAAAUCAUAUAUUUGUUUAACCAUUAAAAAUGUGUUAAAUGUAAUGUUUCACUGUAUUGUAAUUGUUAAUUGUCAUUGUUAGUUCUGCUUUGACUUUGAAAAUAAGUGGAAUGCAUUUUAAUACUUUUUAGGACUUUGGCAAUCUAUACUAUACUAAAAGGAGAAUAAGAUCACCAUUUAGCCUGUCCACGUAGGAUCAGAAAUUCAAGCCAAUCAAAUUGUCUUAAGAUGCCAUGUCAGAUUAGUAAAAAAAAAAACAACUUUACGAUGGCUAAUCCUUCUUUUCUCCUGCGCCUUUCCAAUGUCUCUAUCCAGCUUCUCAGUUCCAAGUUUUCUCCAUUAAUUUGUCCAACUUUCUGUAAACAAGUGGAUCUCUUAAAAAUAUCCCUCAUUCGAGAUUGAGGUGUAACCUGAGCUCCAAAAAGAGUUGUUUCAUCUUCUUCCUUAUCCAUCCGCAGAGAUACCGGUUACAGAUUAACCCUCUUCAAUUAUUUCUUAAAUACAUACCCCAUGAUCUCUUACUCCACUGUUCUUGAAGGCAUGCCGUUGUAACUUCCUAAAAGAUGAAGAUUUCAUUAGCCAACCUCAGUCCUUCAAGCUUUAUGGAGAUUGAAAGGGUACUUAAAUAUUUACAAGGGAAAUAAGCGACGCAUGUUUCAGAAAAUAGUGAGAAGAAGAUUAUAGAGGAGUAAGGAUACAAAAAAACAUUGUUUCAGAGUGUGUAUCAAAGAAUCUGCAGGCUUUCGGAGUUUGAGAGAUUUCGUAUCAGCUUUGUUUGAUUGUAAACUCAAUGCAGAUUGAUGAUUGUAUCAGGAACAUUAACAAGCCAUGGAUGAAGAAGAUAAAUCUUUCAGAUUCAUAGUGACACCAAUAACUGCUGUGAAAGCCACCCACCAAAAGCCUUUACUCCGCAAGAAGGUUUGCUUGCUUUUCUCCUAUGUUAUCAUCCAGAAAACAGAGCAAAGCUUAAACUUACCAAGCAGAGAAGGAAGAGAUGGGUCAGAUGAAAUGGUCGUGAGUAUGAUCUAAAGACAUGUGUAGACUUUUACAUAUUGAGUCACGACAUUCCCGAUUCUGAUGAACAAACGUCUUAUCUUAUACUCAUGUGACUGAUACUACAUAGGAAGAUGAUCCCAUGGAUCUGUAGCUGGGGUGAUGGUGUAAGUUGUUCUCUAUGACAUGAGUCAUUGUCAAUGGUGGUGACUGAAAUGUAUCAAAUAGUUGCAGGUGGUCAAGAAGCUAACCAGGGGCAGUUAUGGUCCAAGGGAAUGUAGGAAACAGCAACUGCAAAUUACAAAGUUGUAACCUGGUGAUGACUAAACCUUCCACAGUAGGCACGGUUGAGGAAGAGUCGGUGACGGCGAAGUAAUACACACAGACGAUUAGCAUGGAGACAGAAUGAGAUAGAUGAGAAGAGAGGGACAACACAGGAGAAGCUGCGGAGAUGCUGGAGAGUCAUGAAAAUUGAGGCUACGGCUCUCAUCUCAGAAGAGUCGCAGAAUAUAGCGGAGUUUGUGAGUGGCCUACACAUCAAUUUCAAUUUCUAGAAUAACCACAAUUUGUAACAAGAAUAGUUCACAGUUUAAUAGUUUACUAUAUCUGGUUCAACUUGACAGAUUAUCUAUCUUACCAAAGGAUAGCCAGUUUAAUA